GGAACUGUGCCUGAAUGCUAAAGGGCCACUUUGAUAGAGUGGCAUAUAGGGGUUAGAUUCCCCUUAGUUCCU
rnacentral:tRNA from 1 species